AAGUCAUCAUGGCCCUUAUGUCCAGGGCGACACACGUGCUACAAUGGGCGGGUACAGAGGGAAGCGAGUUCGCGGAGGAUGAGCGGAUCCCGACAAAGCCGUUCUCAGUUCGGAUUGAAGUCUGCAAUUCGACUUCAUGAAGCUGGAAUCGCUAGUAAUCGCAGAUCAGCCAAGCUGCGGUGAAUACGUUCCCGGGCCUU
rnacentral:rRNA from 1 species